ACCCGCUGAACUUAAGCAUAUCAAUAAGCGGAGGAAAAGAAACCAACAGGGAUUGCCCUAGUAACGGCGAGUGAAGCGGCAACAGCUCAAAUUUGAAAUCUGGCCUUUGGUCCGAGUUGUAAUUUGUAGAGGAUGAUUUGGUGCGGUACUUUCCGAGUUCCCUGGAACGGGACGCCUUAGAGGGUGAGAGCCCCGUACGGUUGGAUACCUAGCCUCUGUAAAUCUCCUUCGACGAGUCGAGUAGUUUGGGAAUGCUGCUCUAAAUGGGAGGUAAAUUUCUUCUAAAGCUAAAUACUAGCCAGAGACCGAUAGCGCACAAGUAGAGUGAUCGAAAGAUGAAAAGCACUUUGAAAAGAGGGUUAAAAAGCACGUGAAAUUGUUGAAAGGGAAGCGUUUAUGACCAGACUUUUUCUAGGCGGAUCAUCCGGUGUUCUCACCGGUGCACUUCGCCUAGUUUAGGCCAGCAUCGGUUCUUAUAGGGAGAUAAAAGCUUCAGGAAUGUGGCUCCUCCGGGAGUGUUAUAGCCUGUUGUAUAAUAUCCUUACGGGGACCGAGGUACGCGCUCUGCAAGGAUGCUGGCAUAAUGGUCAUCAACGACCCGUCUUGAAACACGG
rnacentral:rRNA from 1 species